AGUGAAAGCUGGCUGCGUGCCUAAUACAUGCAAGUCGAACGGAGUGGCGCACGGGUAAAUACUGUAUAGCUAAUCUUCCCUACACUAGAGGACAACAGUUGGAAACGGCUUCUAAUACUCUAUAGUGUAGGAUGAGGCUAUAUUGUAUCAGCUCGUUGGUGAGGUAAUGGCGCACCAAGGCUAUGACGCAUAACUGGUCUGAGAGGAUGAUCAGUAACACGGGAACUUAGACACGGUACAGACUCCUACGGGAGGCAGCAGUAUGGAAUAUUGCUCAAUGGGGGAAACCCUGAAGCAGCAACGCCGCGUGGAGGAUGACACUUUUCGGAGCGUAAACUCCUUUUGUUAGGGAAGCGGUACCUAACGAAUAAGCACCGGCUAACUCCGUGCCAGCAGCCGCGGUAAUUC
rnacentral:rRNA from 1 species